rnacentral:rRNA from 1 species
AUGCGCCAGCUAAGGCUCGUCGCCAACAUGAGGGCUCAUAAUGACACCUGGUUUGCCGAUUACUUGCUAAGGGUAGGCAAUGGCACCGAGGAAGUUGAUGAUCAAGGAAACAUACGACUCUUUGAAGAUAUUUGUGUGCCGUCUACAGGCGAGGGUGACGACCUAGAGAAGCUGAUUGACCAUGUGUUUCCGAGACUAGGUGACAACCAGUCUGAUCCGAAUUACAUGACUUCACGCGCAAUCCUCUCCACCAUGAACGACAACAUCGACAAGAUAAACAUACGCAUGGUAGAG